rnacentral:rRNA from 1 species
AGGACGAACGCUGGCGGCGUGCUUAACACAUGCAAGUCGAGCGGUAAGGCCUUUCGGGGUACACGAGCGGCGAACGGGUGAGUAACACGUGGGUGAUCUGCCCUGCACUCUGGGAUAAGCCUGGGAAACUGGGUCUAAUACCGGAUAUGACCUGCUCUCGCAUGGGGGUGGGUGGAAAGAUUUAUCGGUGCAGGAUGGGCCCGCGGCCUAUCAGCUUGUUGGUGGGGUAAUGGCCUACCAAGGCGACGACGGGUAGCCGACCUGAGAGGGUGACCGGCCACACUGGGACUGAGACACGGCCCAGACUCCUACGGGAGGCAGCAGUGGGGAAUAUGCACAAUGGGCGAAAGCCUGAUGCAGCGACGCCGCGUGAGGGAUGAAGGCCUUCGGGUUGUAAACCUCUUUCAGCAGGACGAAGCGCAAGUGACGGUACCUGCAGAAGAAGCACCGGCUAACUACGUGCAGCAGCCGC